AUUGAACGCUGGCGGCAGGCCUAACACAUGCAAGUCGAGCGGAUGACGGGAGCUUGCUCCUUGAUUCAGCGGCGGACGGGUGAGUAAUGCCUAGGAAUCUGCCUGGUAGUGGGGGACAACGUUUCGAAAGGAACGUUAAUACCGCAUACGUCCUACGGGAGAAAGCAGGGGACCUUCGGGCCUUGCGCUAUCAGAUGAGCCUAGGUCGGAUUAGCUAGUUGGUGGGGUAAUGGCUCACCAAGGCGACGAUCCGUAACUGGUCUGAGAGGAUAAUCAGUCACACUGGAACUGAGACACGGUCCAGACGCCUACGGGAGGCAGCAGUGGGGAAUAUUGGACAAUGGGAGAAAGCCUGAUCCAGCCAUGCCGCGUGUGUGAAGAAGGUCUUCGGAUUGUAAAGCACUUUAAGUUGGGAGGAAGGGCAGUAAGUUAAUACCUUGCUGUUUUGACGUUACCGACAGAAUAAGCACCGGCUAACUCUGUGCCAGCCGCCGCGGUAAAAC
rnacentral:rRNA from 1 species